rnacentral:miRNA from 8 species
GGUUGAUCAGAGAAUGUACAUU